rnacentral:rRNA from 1 species
UACGGGGGGGGUAAGCGUUGUUCGGAAUUACUGGGCGUAAAGGGCUCGUAGGCGGCCAACUAAGUCAGACGUGAAAUCCCUCAGCUUAACUGGGGAACUGCGUCUGAUACUGGAUGGCUUGGAUUCGGGAGAGGAAUGCGGAAUUCCAGGUGUAGCGGUGAAAUGCAUAGAUACAAUCAAGAACACCGAUUGCGUAGGCAGCUUACUAGGCUGUAACUGACGCUGAGGCACGAAAGCGUGGGGAGCGAACAGG